CUGUUCCUAAAUCAUUGAGUGUGGGUCUUCAGGCUCCUGUACCUCCUCCCUGAUGGUAGUAACGAGAAGAGGGCAUGUCCCAGGUGGUGAGGAUCCUUGAUGAUGUUUCCAUUUAUAAAACUUUGGACUGUUCCAGUCUACUGAGGUCCCACACCAAUGAUGAGCACCCCUCUCCCACGUGGUACUGCCGAUGGCCAGGACAAGAACGGUCACCAGUUGAGGAUUGUGAUCACCAAAUGUCCUAAACAGAAAGGAAAUGAUCAAAAUACAACACAGGAAAUGCAGCAAGGAGCAGGAAAUAAAUGAAGUCAUACUUGCCUCAGUUUCUGAUGAACCUGCUGAGUUAUUUACAGUAACAUGGUCACUGUUAUUG